rnacentral:rRNA from 1 species
AUAUUGCUCAGCGGAGGAAAAGAAAACAACCGUGAUUCCCUUAGUCAGCGGCGAGCGAACAGGGAUCCAACUCGAUGCCGAAUCGGGCUUUACAGAGCCUUGAGUUGUGGCAUGGCAGUCCCGUGACUGGUCAAGGGAGUGGCAAAAUUCAAUGUGCAAAGCAAACCCAUUGUUGAAUGCAACCCUUCAUGUGAGUAUUGAGCCAUAGGAGGUGAAAGCCCAUUCCAGCCACUACUACCCUAAGCCUCAUUGGACUGUUAUAAGCGAGUAGCACUGCUUGGGAAUGCAGUGUCAAGCGGCAGGUAUGUGUCUGCCAAAGUUAAAUACAAAAUGGGAAGACCGAUAGCAAACAAGUAGCGUGAGCGAAAGUUUGAAAAGCACUUUGGAAAGAGAGUGACAUAGAACCUGAAGUCGUGACAAUGACAAUGAAAGUGCCUCCAUUUUUGUCAAGGCCUGCCCUGCAGCAUUAUCCGGCAUUCCUUCUUCGGAAGCCAACGUCGGGCAAACAAAUGUUGGAAGGGGACAGGAGCAAAGAGCCGAGGUAAAGGUAGGAGUUUUGCCUAGCAAUGAACCCGUCCUUCUCGGUAGACUCAGCGACUUGACGCUCUGGAAAUGGGGUACCUUCA